CGAUCAGAGUGAACGACUUGGAAGCUUCGCCCGCUGGGAGAUGCACAGCUCAUGUACGCGGGUUCCGCACGGGCAGGGACGCGCGCGCCCCAGGGACCCGCAGCCGAGCCUCCGUCCUGCGCCCCUGCUGCGGUCUCCCGGCCCCCUGCUGCAGCCUGCCAGCGGCUUCAGGUGUGGAUGAAGACCCGCGCUGACAUUACUCACCUUCAUGUGGCAGAUUGUUUGUCCAUGAUGUUUAUGAUUUGACAGAACACAAAUUUAAUGUUCUUCUGAGAACAGUCAGUUUGAGAGAAGAGGAGACGCCUUCCGUGAGUGAUUUGGGGCGGCGUCCUCCUCUGGGAGAAUCCAACAGAUACAUAAAUCUAAUUUAAUUUGUUUCAGAAAAUGGGAGUAUUAAGCUGAAUAUUUGAAGGAAUUCAGGCACUAAAAUCACCACGUUUUCAACUUCCUAACACAGAAAAUAGCCUAAUUGGAUUUGCAUUAUAUUUCUCUGACUUUGGCAUCACAUAUCUUUUUCUCUAGAAAAGGAGAAGGUAUUGAAUCAAAGAAAGACAUCCAGAAUUUCAAAACUGUGGAAAUGAUAUUAAACAUUAUCGCAGAAUUAGUUUUUAGCUAUAUUUGCUUUUUAUUAACCCAACCCCUACAGUCUGGGAGUUCUGCACCUAUUUUAAAUAAGGAGAUAACAUUAGAGUGAGCAAUACCCAACUUUGUUCUACUCUGCAUUCAUGAGUUCCAACUGAGAAAUACUGAUGGUAUUUCCAAAAAUGUGAAACCCAUACUAUGGGAAAUAUGCACGAUGAUUUUGCAUGAGAGAUGAUGUAAAUGAACGUGAUUGACUUUCUCCCUGAUGAAAUCAGAAUUAUUAAAAGAUGGGGGGAAAGGGAACACCAGAUGACUCAAUAUCACACUGUCUUGCCUAAAUACAAGGAGGUCAAAAAAUUAAUAAGUAAAAUGCAAUGUUGCUAACUGAAGCAGCAUCCUUUCUUGUUCCUGUAGCAAAUGAUAUCGGACUGGUACACUUUCCUUUCUCUAUGCUAAGCCAUACUGAGAACAGGUAAAAGUGACUUCACUACUUGCUUCAGGAAACACUUGCUCCUAAAAACAAGACAGCGGCGGACCAAGGCAGCUUACCCAUCAGUCCCAGCCAGCUCGUGCCGCAGGUGGCCUCCAGCUCAUCUCCCAGGGUCCUGCAACCCAAGGCUGUUGUACCAGACUGCCCAAGGCCAACCAGUCCUCUGGCCAGCAAAGCCAUCUGACAGCCAUGCACCCAGGACCCAAGUCCUGCAAAUACCCUGUCCUGCCUUCCUUUUGGAGGAACUACAAAGAUUCUGUUGUUAAAAAAAAAAUUCAUCCAAGUAAAUUUGAAGACCUAACGGAUUUACUAAAUAAAUCAUGAAUUGGGCAGCAUCCCCUCUGGCAAGUAGAGAGAUUCUCUGAAGGGCUCCAGGAAAGGAGAGGAUUUUAAAGGCAGGACAAAGAAGUCAUAACAGAAAAAAGGAUUAUUUCAGGUGAGAUCACCUUCCCUGGGGAAAAAAGGUCUUAUAAGAUGGAUUCCUUUAGGGGAUAGGGAGGACACGUGUAACAUCUAAUCAAUGAUGACCAGAAAAGUCCUGACUGACUACAUUUCUGGGAGAGGUUGUGCAAUUUAGUUAAGUGCCAGUUUGGUGACUUGGUGCAGCAGAAGUGACACCAGGUGGGACCCGUGUCUUUCUUAGCAUUGCCAAUGAGCCGUUCUCCUUCACCGUGAUCCGUCUGCUUAACUUGCUUCGCUCGGUCAACAGGUUUUCCUGGUGGUCCUCUGGGGAACUCACCAGCUGACCAGCGCAUAGUAACAGGUUUGUCUCCUGGUACAGUAUCACGGAGGAAGUGUGGAGGGCAGAAGAAUCAGUAAAGGCUCCAUAACAGUGCGACCAGAGAGCUAGGUUUGCAAGAGUCCUGAGUUCAACUCUGGAUACUGGGAGCUGAGGCUCAUUAGGGGAAACCCUCCACCUCCAAGAACAAUUAGAAGGAGUAAUCCCAAGAGUUUCUGGUAAAAUGAGUGGUGUUGGAACCUUUGAGUUUCUUUCUAUUUGUUCUAGAAUCCAAUGGACAGGAGACAGAUUAACAGGAGGAAAAAAACCACAGAUUUAUGACAUGAGUAAGGAGUCCCAGUAGUGAAAUUGGGAUCCAAAGAAGUGCAGAGGUUGGCAGUUUUAUAUAUUUUAGACUAAGAGACAAUAAAUCUGUGGGGAGUUCACAGAACAAAGCAAACUUAUGUUUGGGAACUUCAAUUAGGAAUUCUAAACAGUAUUUGGACUUACAUUGUAAAUUAAUAAAGAAGCAGUAAGAUUUGUUUGUGCAGCCUCCCUGGCUCUGAAUUCUCUGUCUCUGGUGAGAAGGAUUCCUCUCUACCUCCUGGUUCAGGGAAGGUGCCCUUCACAUGGGACAUUCAUUUCUUGGUUCCAGGGGAACAGAGGAUGGUCAUCCCUCCUGCACCAGCCGGUUCUUCAGUCACUUUAAAUAAAAUAAACGUAAUCAAUAUGCUGAAGAGGCACAUAUGAGGGCAACCUGCCUUUGGUCUCUCCAGUGGCAACCCCCUGCCUUCCGAGGUGGUUAGGGAGAUCUUAGACAUGCAAGACAUGGGAGAAGAAAGUUAAUGUGACCUGGGUGGAAGGGCGAAUAUGAAGGAAACAGGAGAGGAGUCCCCAGUGGGCAGAGCCCUUGUCCCUCCGAGCAGGCGUGAUGGACCGGUAGGGGUGACAGCUAUGAGCCUUCCUGAGCCACCCACCCAGAGCUAAUCCCCAUUUCAUUUCUCCACCUUGAUUUUAAAGUUAAUUAAAAUAUGGUUAAACACUGGUAGUGUCCUAAGUGCUAAGUUUUAGUGAAAAAGAAAAAGAGCAAGAAACGAUUUUAAAUCUGAAUAUCUCACACAUUUGAAACUUGUGACUUUCACAGAAUCCUGCUAUGUCUUUAGUUGAUGGGUUCUUCAAGGUUGUCCAGGGACUCCAAAGACUGCAGUGGGCUCUUGUCUAACAUACAGGCAACAGGUGCUGUUUUCACAUAGUUUCCCUUUGUGUGUUAUUGCUUAUAUUAUAUUUGCAUUUUUGGGGUUGCUGUUUUGUUUUAUUAUUUUCCUAAAUUUAAAAAAUGGAUGAAUGAGCCCUUGGCAGGCCCAUGUCCCGCUCUAGUGCUGUCUUCUGGUGGCCGCACAUGGAACUGCAGCUCCCGGCCCCUGAUGCAGAAGGUGGUCCCUGGAGGGUGGGUGGUCCCAGCGUGUCUUCCCCAGCCUGGCUCAGUCAGGGCCCGCUCACCUCACUGAGGUACUCAGCAUGGUGCUUCGUGCCCACAAACACCACGGUCUGGUCCUGGGGCUGCACCACGUUGUGCAGAAGGUGGAGCAGCACAGCGGCCUUGGAGUCUUCGCGCACAAGGAA